rnacentral:rRNA from 1 species
UACGGGGGGAGCAAGCGUUGUUCGGAUUUACUGGGCGUAAAGGGCGCGUAGGCGGCCACCGCAAGUCGGUUGUGAAAUCUCCGGGCUUAACCCGGAAAGGUCAAUCGAUACUGCGGGGCUAGAGUGCAGAAGGGGCAACUGGAAUUCUCGGCGUAGCGGUGAAAUGCGUAGAUAUCGAGAGGAACACCUGCGGCGAAGGCGGGUUGCUGGGCUGACACUGACGCUGAAGCGCGAAAGCUAGGGGAGCGAACGGG